AUUGAACGCUGGCGGCAUGCCUUACACAUGCAAGUCGAACGGUAACAGGUCUUCGGAUGCCGACGAGUGGCGAACGGGUGAGUAAUACAUCGGAACGUGCCUAGUAGUGGGGGAUAACUACUCGAAAGAGUGGCUAAUACCGCAUGCGAUCUACGGAUGAAAGCAGGGGAUCGCAAGACCUUGUGCUACUAGAGCAGCCGAUGGCAGAUUAGGUAGUGGGUGGGAUAAAAGCUUACCAAGCCGACGAUCUGUAGCUGGUCUGCGAGGACGAUCAGGCACACUGGGACUGAGAAACGGCCCAGACUCCUACGGGAGGCAGCAGUGGGGAAUUGUGGACGAUGGGCGAAAGCCUGAUCCAGCAAUGCCGCGUGCAGGAUGAAGGCCUUCGGGUUGUAAACUGCUUUUGUACGGAACGAAAAGCCCCGGGUUAAUACCCUGGGGUCAUGACGGUACCGUAAGAAUAAGCACCGGCUAACUACGUGCCAGCCGACGCCGUAA
rnacentral:rRNA from 1 species